GUGGGGAAUAUUGCACAAUGGGCGGAAGCCUGAUGCAGCAACGCCGCGUGCGGGAUGACGGCCUUCGGGUUGUAAACCGCUUUCAGCAGGGACGAAGCGUGAGUGACGGUACCUGCAGAAGAAGCACCGGCUAACUACGUGCCAGCAGCCGCGGUGAUACGUAGGGUGCGAGCGUUGUCCGGAUUUAUUGGGCGUAAAGAGCUUGUAGGCGGUUGGUUGCGUCGAAAGUGCAAACUCAGGGCUUAACUCUGAGCCUGCUUUCGAUACGGGCUGACUGGAGGAAGGUAGGGGAGAAUGGAAUUCCCGGUGGAGCGGUGGAAUGCGCAGAUAUCGGGAGGAACACCAGUGGCGAAGGCGGUUCUCUGGACCUUUCCUGACGCUGAGAAGCGAAAGCGUGGGGAGCAAACAGGCUUAGAUACCCCAGUAGUCC
rnacentral:rRNA from 1 species